rnacentral:rRNA from 1 species
AAAUUGAAGAGUUUGAUCAUGGCUCAGAUUGAACGCUGGCGGCAGGCCUAACACAUGCAAGUCGAGCGGUAGCACAGAGAGCUUGCUCUCGGGUGACGAGCGGCGGACGGGUGAGUAAUGUCUGGGAAACUGCCUGAUGGAGGGGGAUAACUACUGGAAACGGUAGCUAAUACCGCAUAACGUCGCAAGACCAAAGUGGGGGACCUUCGGGCCUCAUGCCAUCAGAUGUGCCCAGAUGGGAUUAGCUAGUAGGUGGGGUAACGGCUCACCUAGGCGACGAUCCCUAGCUGGUCUGAGAGGAUGACCAGCCACACUGGAACUGAGACACGGUCCAGACUCCUACGGGAGGCAGCAGUGGGGAAUAUUGCACAAUGGGCGCAAGCCUGAUGCAGCCAUGCCGCGUGUGUGAAGAAGGCCUUCGGGUUGUAAAGCACUUUCAGCGGGGAGGAAGGCGUUAAGGUUAAUAACCUU